rnacentral:rRNA from 1 species
AUACGUAGGGGGCGAGCGUUGUCCGGAAUUACUGGGCGUAAAGGGCGCGUAGGCGGCCCAAAAAGUCAGAUGUGAAAAACCUGGGCCUAACCGAGGCCUUGCAUUUGAAACUGUUGGGCUUGAGGGCAGGAGAGGGAAGCGGAAUUCCCAGUGUAGCGGUGAAAUGCGUAGAUAUUGGGAGGAACACCAGUGGCGAAGGCGGCUUUCUGGACUGCACCUGACGCUGAGGCGCGAAAGCCAGGGGAGCGAACGGGAUUAGAUACCCCGGUAGUCCUGGCCGUAAACGAUGGAUACUAGGUGUGGGAGGUAUCGACCCCUUCCGUGCCGCAGCCAACGCACUAAGUAUCCCGCCUGGGGAGUACGGCCGCAAGGCUGAA